AAUCUGGUGCUGAUAUUGCCCGCGUAAAUUACCCAAUCCUAAUUCAGGGAGGUAGUGGCAAGAAAUAACAACUCGGAGUCUCACGACUUGCGAGAUUGCAAUGAGCACAAUUUAAAUCUCUUAGCAAGGAACAAUUGGAGGGCAAGUCUGGUGCCAGCAGCCGCGGUAAUUCCAGCUCCAAUAGCGUAUAUUAAAGUUGUUGCAGUUAAAAAGCUCGUAGUUGAACUUCUGGGCGUUCUCACAGUGGCUCCGGUCGUUGUGAGGGCGUUCAUCCGUCUGAGAACUACAUUCGGCCUUCGCUGGUCGGUGUAGGGAUCAGGCAUUUUACUUUGAAAAAAUUAGAGUGUUCCAGGCAGGCAAUCGCCUUGAAUACACAAGCAUGGAAUAAUGGAAUAGGACUAUGAUUCAUUUUGUUGGUUAUUGGAUCAUAGUAAUGAUUAACAGGGACAGUUGGGGGCAUUAGUAUUUAAUUGUCAGAGGUGAAAUUCUUGGAUUUAUUAAAGACUAACUUAUGCGAAAGCAUUUGCCAAGGAUGUUUUCAUUAAUCAAGAUCGAAAGUUAGGGGAUCAAAGACGAUCAGAUACCGUCCUAGUCUUAACCAUAAACUAUUCCGACUAGGGAUUGGUUGGGUUCCUUCAGCCCAAUCAGCACCUUAUGAGAAAUCAAAGUCUUUGGGUUCCGGGGGGAGUAUGGUCGCAAGGCUGAAACUUAAAGGAAUUGACGGAAGGGCACCACCAGGAGUGGAGCCAGCGGCUUAAUUUGACCCAACACGGGGAAACUCACCAGCGCAAAACAUGGGUGGGAUUGACAGAUUGAGAGCUCUUUCUUGAUUCUAUGGGUGGUGGUGCAUGGCCGUUCUUAGUUGGUGGAGUGAUUUGUCUGGUUAAUUCCGUUAACGAACGAGACCUUAACCUGCUAACUAGUCUCUUCAUGUUAAAUGGGGAGGACUUCUUAGAGGGACUAUGAGUGCAAGCUCAUGGAAGUUUGAGGCAAUAACAGGUCUGUGAUGCCCUUAGAUGUGCUGGGCCGCACGCGCGCUACACUGAUACGUUCAGCAAGUUUUAUCCUGGUCCGGAAGGAUUUCGGGUAAUCUUUGUAAAGCGUAUCGUGCUGGGGAUCGAUCUUUGCAAUUAUAGAUCUUGAACGAGGAAUUCCUAGUAAGUGCAAGUCAUCAGCUUGUACUGAUUACGUCCCUGCCCUUUGUACACACCGCCCGUCGCUCCUACCGAUUCGAGUGAUCCGGUGAACCUUCUGGACUGCUGAGGUCUCGGCCUCGGUGGAAAGUUAAGUAAACCUUAUCACUUAGAGGAAGGAGAAGUCGUAACAAGGUU
rnacentral:rRNA from 1 species